ensembl:lincRNA
UUCCCCUUGAGUUAAAACGUGGUAUUGAGAAACUAUGAGAAAAAUCUCCACAAAGGAAGAAUCUGAGAGUUUUCAAGGACCUAUCAAAUCAAGUGAGAAGAUGGCAUCCUGACAGCAGCACCAAUACAAAGAGCCAGGAAGAGAAUGAAAGGUGGAAUACUAACGGGUGGAUGGAGCACAGGUGUGGAGCAGGAAGUGGAAAGAGGCGGAGAUGAUCCAUCAGGCAGAGGCGGCCCAGGAGCACCUAGAAGUUCACGUCUAAAAUGUGGACCUGAUCCUGCAGGGGCUUUACUGAAAGGAUGAACAGGGAGAAUAGUCUCAGAAACACCAGUGACCACCAGAGGUGGACCUUCAGCAUCUCGGCAGUGCUGGUUUUUCCAGGCACGUGGCUUUGUGCAGCUCCGCACCCCCAAACUUCCCAAGUUCUUCUGCUAUCUGCGACGCUGGAGCCAAAGGAAGUCGAAACAGGGACGGAGAUACUAAGCCUGCCCUGGUGGCCCGUGCCUGUCAUCCCGGCGACCGGAGGCCAAACCGGGAGAACCAAGCCGGAAGCCAGCCUCGGCCACACAGCGGUCCCAUCUCCAGGAACAACGGAGCUCUGCCUCCAGAGCGCGCUUGAUUCUGAGCAGGUGCUUGGGAGGACUCCUUCCAAGUUCUCCAGGGCCUUUGCACACGUUUCUUUCCACGCUGAGAGGGUGCUCUUCCUAGACUGGCCAAGCCUCCGGUCUCCCUCUCCCGAGCCGCGGAGGUUCUAAUGACACAUCAGGACACGAUUUGUUCCUUGGGCUAUUUCAUUUGAGAGGGAAUAGGUCACUUGCAGGGGCCAAAUGCGAGAUACAAAUACCUGUAGCUCGAGCUGAGGAAACAGCUUUAAACAGUAUUCAAUGUGUUGUAAGAAUUUUUUCUUCUUCGGUAGGGAGCAAUGGACAGAACGUGGCCUGUCAGAGAACAAAGAAAAUCCUACUGACUUCAGGUAGGCCUCACCGGUUCCCAGCUCGGCCUGACAGCUUCUUGGCAGGCAUCAGGCACAGGCCUCAGCCUGGCUGGAGGGAAAGGAGGACCCGAGGGGAAACAGGCGCAGCCUCACCGAGAGGAGGGCGCCGUCUGCCGUGCAGCGCCAGCGCCACCAUGCGGUCAUCUGCGGAUCCUCAGCGCAAGAGCAAGUCCUUUUCCCUCCACGUUUGAAGAAGGGGAAAAUAAACCCAAAUCAAACUCUGAAGUGAUCUCUUCCUUUGGAGGGGCCACUCUAAGAGAUGCGCUGCAUGAAUGGGUACAGAUUUGGAAAGUAGCAGUUCACGACCCUCCUCAUUAGAUAGCAGUAACAAUUUUGAGUUCUACUGCACAAAUAGCUGGUAAAUGUCCUCAUACAGUGGAAAGAGGCAUUUCCGAUCGGUUGGCAGAUGUGAGGAACAGCUAAACGAAUGCACUACUCAGCCAGACUGUAAAGGGAGGGGCACUCUUGUGAAGGGUAGGUCACAGCUAACAAGCCACCUGUGCUGUCUUGCAGGUCGUAGCUAACGAGCCACCUGUGUUAUCCUCACUAACGUUUGCUCUUGGAGCACAGCUGCACAGUCUUAAGUCCUCAGCUGCAGUGUUUACUUGCUGUGAGAGAUGGCACAGCCUCAUUGAUCACUGAGGCCGCAGUCAUAACCCUUGGCAUCAGGAAGUCCAUCUCUAAACACCAGCUUAAGGCUCACUUAGCAAGUCAUGCUUAGGUCCUGGAGUGACUUAUAGUUUUAAUCAACAGCCAGAUUGUCAGCCAAUUCAAUGAUAUUGGACAGCCUGAUUAGUGCAGUUUCAAGCUGGUCUCUUGCACUUCCUCAUACUCUGAUUUAUCACUUGAUGGGCCCCAAGGUCAGUCAUUAAACAGACACCCUGACCUCCCCUGUCCCCUCCAUGAGUGCCUGCCCAGAUGCCCUUCCUUUUUCUUUUAUCCUCACUUCCUGUUCCCAUCCAUAAAAGGCCACAGAACCUUAACUUUGGGGCUGUCUCUGUCAGACUCUCUCAUGCGGAGGAGUCUGGGCUAAUGGCCGCCCCUCUGGGCCUUCUUGGGUCUGAGUCAUCCUUUGCUUCAUACCAUGGUUGUGAACUGUGAUGAGUUGUGCCCUGUGUGAAGAGCCUGUGAGGAAUAAGUUGGUGCCACUCACUGCAGAGGACCGACCUCCCAAAGCCUGGAAAAGGAACAGAACCCGUCUCUUCAUCCCAGUCCGGGGACAGUGGCGACAGAACAGCCUCACAUCUCAGCAAGGUCACAGGUCAGGCUUCUCAACCUGAAGUCUUUCAACUGUCCAACCGCUAAGGGAGUGGGACGGGUCUUUUGUUCUUUUUAUUCUUUCUUUUUUUAACAGUAGAAAACUUUGUGAGAAAUACAGCUUCUGUCUAAGAGAGAUGGAAGGGGGACCGGAAAUUGGGUAGUCCUUUCUUUUUGCACUUUUACUUCAUAUGGUAUGGAGCAUACUAUCCACAGAGGAAAACCAUUUAAACAACAUUUGCAAUGUCUCUUAAAGAUGUCUGGAUGUAAAGUUUCUGAUAGUUAUUUGACAACAAUGUCCAUGAUUUCCUGUGGAGGAUGGCCUAGGGCUGGAGGCCUGGGAACAUGUGGGCCAAAAUUGAGACAGUCAUUAGGUGUGGCAGACGUCUCUGCCCAGUAUUAGCAGACUCUGGUUAAUUGCAGCCCAGUCUUGGCACCCCCUCUCCAAGAAAGUCAGGUGAUGCCUUCGCUCUUUACGUCCCUGCCUACAUAUCAGCCAUCACCAGAUGCUUCCAGGCAGCUGCUUCUGGUUGCUUUACACUGUGUCAGCAGAUGCCUUCAAAACCUACCUUUCCUCCCUUCCCACACUUGUAGUCAGUAAAACACUGGGUGCCCUUGGUGCCUCUUGUGUUUGCUGCCCAGAGCAGCACGGAUCAGCCAAAGACCCAGUUCUCUCUAAGCCUUGUUUUGGUCUUUACUUUUGUUUAGCUUUGUGUUGUAGUGCAUCACAGGAGACCAGAACCCACUGCAGAGGUCUCUGGUAAUGUUUCCAUUCUUUCCCCCGUAAUUCCUGUAAAAAUUACACUCCUUGCUAUCUGGCAUCUUUGCAGGGCUGCUAUUUGAUCUACUUGAGCAGAUAGGUUCCUCUGAAAUGAGUUCCUCCUCUCUCCUCAGCUCCCUCUGAAAGCCAUCUUCUGCCUCUGAUGGCCCAGGGGGAAAAGAGAGACAGCCAGAGGUGGGGGGCUCUAAAAUUAUACCACAUGCUAAUUGGAGUUGUUUUUUUUAAAAAAAAUAACAAAAAAGAAAAAAAAUAAAAGUGGAAAAAUAGAAACUAAAAAGAAAAUUAAAAUAGAGAAAAAAUUUAAAAAGAAGAUAAAAAUAGGAAAAUAAUUUUUACAAAAAGAGAGGAAGCUAAAGACAACAAAAGUCAAGCCAGCAAGUUAUGCUAAACUGGGAUCAAUUUAUCAGGAAAAAAGAACUGCUAUCAAUAUUUUCUAAACAAAGGCUCAGGUACAUACAUGAGCCCCAAACUACAAAGCUUAAAGAAACAUCUCCAAUCUGUCCUGUAAUUUUCUUUCUCUUUCAGUCAAGUUCUUUGAGUUUUGUUUUUCUGCUUGGCAAUGUGGUUGGAGUUAUUGGCAGCUUUUGUCUUUGGAGGCAUGCUUUGGUAAGGCCAGAAGAUUCCCCCUGAAAAAGCUUUCUUUGAUCUUUCUGGUCUUUCUUACCUUGAGAUGGUUAGGAUUUUGUUCUCUCUGUGGCUGCUGGGUGUCUAGGUGGUGGCUUCCCUCUCUUAGUGACCCUUCCAGAGUGUAGCUGACUUUCACUUCUCUCCGGGGCAUAUUCUUAGAAAAUAGGUCUGGGUUUGACCCUAAACCUUUUAGAUCAAAUGUAUCAGUGUUCCUACCCCGAGGCAGAACUGGAAGUUAAGGCCUUUCACUCCCCCUGCCUUCAGGAAUGCUGCUCCAAGGGGAAACUGACUGGAUCUGUAGCACAGACAGGUUCAUUGCUAAAGCAAAAGCUAUUCCUAGGGGCCUUAGGAGUUUACUAACAGUUUUAAACAGAACAGGUCUGUGUCAAUGAGAUGAGCAAUCAGCUUAGAUCUCUCUUUAAUAACCAUCUGCUUUCAGGCGUAAAAGGUUUUCUUCUUUCUUUCUGAUUCAUAUUACAAGAGAUCUCUGUUAAUUUACUUAUGAAUAGUUCUGAUUAGUUUAUUUACAGUUAUAAACUGAAAAGCUGUGACAGGGUUAUUGUAAUACAAAGUGGCAAUGUAUCUAAGAGUGCACUCUGAUUUAAAGACAACUGUCUUAUGUGUUUGUUUGUUCGUCCAUUGUUUAAUGUGUAUUCAUUAGAACACCUGCAGCUGUCUCAUUUAUGAGAAAUAUUUUUUUCCAGCUC